rnacentral:tRNA from 1 species
GCGGGCUUAACUCAGUUGGUAGAGUGUCGGCUUCCCAAGCCGAAUGUCGCGGGUUCGAAUCCCGUAGCCCGCU